GCUGGGUGUGGUGGCGCAUCCCUGUAAUCCCAGCGGCUUGGGAGUCUGAGACAGAAGAAUCUCGAGUUCAAAGCCAGCCGCAGCAACUGUAAGGCACUAAACAAUUCAGUGAGACCCUGUCUCUG
rnacentral:sRNA from 1 species